CCCCUAGUAACUGCGAGUGAAGCGGGAAAAGCUCAAAUUUGAAAUCUGGCGGCUCCGUCGCCCGAGUUGUAUUCUGGAGAAGCGUUUUCCGUGCCGGACCGUGUACAAGUCCCUUGGAACAGGGCGUCAUAGAGGGUGAGAAUCCCGUCUUUGACACGGACUCCCGGUGCUAUGUGAUGCGCUCUCGAAGAGUCGAGUUGUUUGGGAAUGCAGCUCAAAAUGGGUGGUAAAUUCCAUCUAAAGCUAAAUAUUGGCGAGAGACCGAUAGCGAACAAGUACCGUGAGGGAAAGAUGAAAAGCACUUUGGAAAGAGAGUAAAACAGUACGUGAAAUUGUUGAAAGGGAAACGCUUGAAGUCAGUCGCGUCUGCCGGAACUCAGCCUUGCUUCUGCUCGGUGCACUUUCCGGUUCGACGGGCCAGCAUCGGUUUUGGGCGGCGGACACUGGCGCGGGGAAGGUGGCAGCUCCGGCUGUGUUAUAGCCCCGCGUCGCAAACGCCGUCYGGGACCGAGGAAUCCGGCGCAAGCCUGGGAUGCUGGCGUAAUGGCUUUAAACGACCCGUCUUGAAACACGGACCAAGGAGUGCUACACGCUCGCGAGUGUUUGGGUGGAAAACCCGGACGCGCAAUGAAAGUGAAAGUCGAUACCCCUCGCGGGGGCACCGACGCCCGAGCCUGAUGUUUUCGGAAGGCCUUGCGGUAGAGCGAGUGCGUUGCGACCCGAAAGAUGGUGAACUAUUCCUGAGGAGGGCGAAGCCAGAGGAAACUCUGGUGGAGGCUCGUAGCGGUUCUGACGUGCAAAUCGAUCGCAGGACUUGGGUAUAGGGGCGAAAGACUAAUCGAACCAUCUAGUAG
rnacentral:rRNA from 2 species